AAUUACAGUGUUUGAGGAUGCUUCCUUGUUUCCAAUAAUGAUCAUGUUCAUUGUUUUUCAUGGAUAAACAGAACAUUCAUAAUUCAAUUCAUUAGCCGAGUUAGAAAUCUGUCUUCUGGUUUCCAGGCCCGACUUAGCUGAGUUUCAUAGAACUCUGUGACUCAGCCCAGCAUUUGAGAAAUUGGUUAAAAGCACCAAUCUGAUUGUAAAGAGAUGCAAGGAAACCAUGAAAAAAAAUUGAGGAAAAUAGUGAAAAAAGACACUAGGGACAUGUAGCUUCAAUCUAAUGAUUAAAUACGUGUUAGGUGGGUAUAUGCAAACAUGAUUAUCAUUAUGCCUUUCCUUUAUUAUUUUUGUAGGUUAGGCAGGAUUUCUUGGCAAUCACAUGCUUUGCUGCUGUUUGUUUCCUUGCUCUGCUGCUUUCGGGCUUUGCUGUUUGGUUUUUCAGCAAUUGUGCUCUCAGGAAAUGGUGAAGGGUGGGAAGCUAAUCUUCUCAUUUGAAGCAACAAAGAAAGCUUGCUUUGGUGUACUCCCACGAUAUGCAAAAGAUGAGCUUCAAAUCAGAUAGUUUGAUCUCCCAAAUUGCCUUAUCUUCCAUAAUGGUUGCAAGACUGCCAAUUCCCUUGGGACUUUCAAGUAAUCAAGACACAAGAACAGAACACAGUUCUGUUGGGGUUUCUGAUACUGAAUAUUUCUUGCUCAUUCUACUUGUGGAAUACUAAUCUCAUUUUGUCCGUCUCAUGAACAAACCUCAUCGAAAUUUGAACCCACGCUUCAAUCGUUUAUCUGGUGCACAACAACAAUGUAGAUCCAUGUGGGAUACUGGAUAAGCUGAUGAAUCCCAUGGCAUUCGA